CAAGAGCGUAUAUUAAAGUUGCUGCGGUUAAAAAGCUCGUAGUUGGAUUUCAGUCUAGGAAGGUUACCUCGCCGAAAGGUUGUACGUUGAUUUUCCUCAGACUUCGUCAGAAGCUCGUGCUGCACUUAACUGUGUGGUACGAUGUUCUGACCUUUUACCUUGAGGAAAGUAGAGUGUUUCAGGCAGGCUACCCAGCUUGAAUACAUUAGCAUGGAAUAAUGAAAUGGAUCUCGGUUCGAUUUCGUUGGUUCUAGAGCUGAGGUGAUGAUCAAUAGGAACAGGCGAAGGUAUUCGUACUUGAGAGUGAGGAGUGAAAUCCGAUGAUCUCUUAAAGACGAUCCGAGGCGAAAGCAUUUGUCAAGGAUGUUUUCAUUGA
rnacentral:rRNA from 1 species